UACGUAGGGUGCGAGCGUUAAUCGGAAUUACUGGGCGUAAAGCGCGCGUAGGUGGUUCAGUAAGUUGGAUGUGAAAUCCCCGGGCUCAACCUGGGAAUUGCAUUUGAAACUGGGAAACUAGAGUGUGUGAGAGGGGGGUAGAAUUCCAAGUGUAGCGGUGAAAUGCGUAGAGAUUUGGAGGAAUACCAGUGGCGAAGGCGGCCCCCUGGCACAACACUGACGCUCAGGUGCGAAAGCGUGGGGAGCAAACAGG
rnacentral:rRNA from 1 species